rnacentral:rRNA from 1 species
CCCGUAGGCGGCUUGGUAAGUCGGGUGUGAAAACCCCAGGCUCAACCUGGGGACGCCACCCGAUACUGCCAUGGCUUGAGUCUGGUAGGGGAGUGCGGAACUCCUGGUGUAGCGGUGAAAUGCAUAGAUAUCAGGAAGAACACCGGCGGCGAAGGCGGCACUCUGGGCCAGUACUGACGCUGAUGGGCGAAAGCGUGGGGAGCAAACAGGAUUAGAUACCCUGGUAGUCCACGCCGUAAACGUUGGGCACUAGGUGUGGGGGGUUUCAACGCCCUCUGUGCCGUAGCUAACGCAUUAAGUGCCCCGCCUGGGGAGUACGGCCGCAAGGCUAAAA